UACAGAGGGGGCAAGCGUUGUUCGGAAUUACUGGGCGUAAAGGGCGCGUAGGCGGCAAUUCAAGUCAUCUGUGAAAUCUCCGGGCUUAACUCGGAACGGUCAGAUGAUACUGCUUUGCUAGAGUGCGGAAGGGGCAAUCGGAAUUCUUGGUGUAGCGGUGAAAUGCGUAGAUAUCAAGAGGAACACCGGUGGUGUAGACGGCUCACUGGACCAUAACUGACGCUGAGACACGAAAGCGUGGGUAGCAAACAGG
rnacentral:rRNA from 1 species